GUCUUCUUCACAUCCUUGUUUUGAGGAAUAAUUAAAGAGGAGAGCACUUUAUACAUGGGAUAUAGUAGUAACCACCCCACAAAGCCGAAGUUUUGUCAUCCCUAAAACAAGGACCAAGAGAACCAUGUGGCACUCUGAUCCAAGUGUUCUGAAAGUACCCCUCAAGAUGAUGCAAUACCUCCACGUUCACUUAUAGUUGAAGAAACUAAGGAAAUAUGGAGACCCCUGAAGGUCAUUGUCAACAUUAGUACUCAGUUCUUCUAACCACAUUGCAGGACACUUCUUAACCA